rnacentral:tRNA from 4 species
GUCCACGUAGCUCAGCAGGAUAGAGCACAGGAUUCCUAAUCCUGGGGUCGGAGGUUCGAAUCCUCUCGUGGACGCCA